rnacentral:tRNA from 1 species
GCGUUUUGGCUAGUGGUAAGCCAAUCGACUGCUAAUCGAUAGACGCAGGUUCGAGUCCUGCAUCGCACU